UACAGGAGGGUGCAAGCGUUUGUUCGGAAUUAUUGGGCGUAAAGAGCUCGUAGGCGGUCUGUCGCGUCUGACUGUGAAAACCUAGGGCUUAACUCUGGGCGUGCAGUGGGUACGGGUAGGCUAGAGUGCGGUAGGGGAGACUGGAAUUCCGUGGUGUAGCGGUGAAAUGCGCAAGGAUAAUCAGGAGGAACACCGGUGGCGGAAGGCGGGUCUCUGGGCCGUGAACUGACGCUGGAGGAAGCGGAAAGCAUCGG
rnacentral:rRNA from 1 species